GACGAACGCUGGCGGCGUGCCUAAUACAUGCAAGUAGGACGCAGUUGCGAAUGGGUGAGUAACGCGUAGGUAACUGCCUAUUAGAGGGGGAUAACUAUUGGAAACGAUAGCUAAUACCGCAUACUAGUAGAUGGACCUGCGUUGUAUUAGCUAGUAGGUAGGGUAAUGGCCUACCUAGGCGACGAUACAUAGCCGAGCUGAGAGGGUGGUCGGGCAAAAUGGGAAUGGGUAACGGGCCAGAAUCCUUCCGGGAGGAAGAGUAGGGGAACUUCGGCCAAUGGGGGAACGCUGAACGCAGAAAGGCGCGUGAGUGAAAGAAGUUUUCGGGUCGUAAAACUCUGUUGUGUAGGGAGCGGUACUUAACCAGAAAGGGACGGCUAACUACGUGCCAGCAGCCGCGGUAAUAC
rnacentral:rRNA from 1 species